rnacentral:misc_RNA from 1 species
ACACCUCAACUCUCAUGGUUUGCCAUGAUGAGCUUGGACUUUGGGGGUCUUGCUGGCCUAUGGUCGGCUCCUCUCAAAUGAAUCAGCUUGCCAGUGUUUGGUGGCGUCACAAGUGUGAUAACUAUCUACGCUUGUGGUUUUCCGCCAGAUGACCUUCAGCAAUGGAGGUCCACUGGAGCUCAUAAAUGUCUCUCCCCAGUGAGGACAGCUCUUUGAAU